AGCGAGAAGCCUUCCUUCGGAAGGUGGACAGUGGCGGACGGGUGAGUAACGCGUGGGAACCUACCUACGGUACGGAAUAACUGCGGGAAACUGCAGCUAAUACCGUAUGCGCCCUUGGGGGAAAGAUUUAUCGCCGUUGGAUGGGCCCGCGCCCGAUUAGCUUGUGGUGAGGUAGGGGCUCACCAAGGCUCCGAUCGGUAGCUGGUCUGAGAGGUGAUCAGCCACACUGGGACUGAGACACGGCCCAGACUCCUACGGGAGGCGCAGUGGGGAAUAUUGGACAAUGGGGGCAACCCUGAUCCAGCCAUGCCGGUGAGUGAAGAAGGCCCUAGGGUUGUAAAACUCUUUCACCAGGGACGAUAUGACGGUACCUGGAGAAGAAGCCCCGGCUAACUCCGUGCCAGCAGCCG
rnacentral:rRNA from 1 species